CCCCCCCAGCCGCCCGCCCUUUCUUAUCUGUCGGGCCUCCUAGCAGAGGAGCCGAUGGGCCGAGUGCAAACAGACAGACAACUUGACACGGCGAGGGAGGGGAAGAUUUAGCAAGCGCGGAAGAGAGGCGGGGGUUCACAGAAGCAGCAGGUUUCCACAGGGCCGCGCGGCAGCUGCGUGUAAAAUCUGCACGUCGUGUCGCAUUAGGCCGGCGCUGGGUGUCGCCUUUCAGGGCCAAUCGUGCACCCCCCCUCCGCCACCACCCGAGCUCGUCCGCGCCGAUCGUUCGUUGCCUGCCAGUUAUAUAAACCUCGUGAGGUCAGCAGGCGGCGAAGCGAGCGUGACGCAGACUGGAGCACACGAGCUUGGCCUCAGUCACCCACAGGCACGGCGAGGUGGGGGAGGACAAGUGGCGGCAUCCAGUUAACCAGGCACCAGCACAGUUUGAUCCUGAUUGAUAACAGUGGAAUAAGAUUGAGACUUAGCCCCCAGGACGAUGACCGUCUUGAACCCGAAAGGCUCGUCACACCUGCGAGCUGACUGUUGCAGCACUUGGUGAUCAAUCCUAAUUAGGCAGAUUCACUGCGGGGGAGUGGAGAAUGGGCCGCUACUCCCCUGCCCAACACCCCUCGAUGCCUCGCCUGCUCAGCAAACACGCCACCAUCAGCAGGCUCUUCACAAAUCACUGCACACGUUUAGCACAGUCAGCCGCCGAGCGUCGACACGGGGGCCGGACAAAGGGUCCAGUCAAAAGGGUCUCGAUAAAGGACAAAGACCCCGGCGUCGGCCAGUUGUGCUUGAAAAGAGGUCGCACUUGGACACGCGGCAAAGACCACAGAUUGCCAUUGACUCCUAGAUGCGUUCUGGCACAAAAUGGAAGCAAAUGCGGAGCCUUUCGUUGACCUGAGACCAUUACACAGACCUUUCAGAGCGUGCAUUCAUGUCUGGUCUAUGGCCACAUAAUUUUAGCAGAGUCAAUGCAAACCUGACCUUAGAGGAGACAUAGCGGCUAAAAAGUGACUUUUAACAGCUUUAGUUCUUCGGUCUCUGGAGUGCCUCUCCACCCGUCAAGUGUGAAAUUAAACAAUGAAGUCAAUUUUUUACCUGCCCAUUUAUGACUAGAACCUGCCUGUGAGGAAGCUAUUCCGUACUCCUAUCCCACCCCCCGCAUCGACUGUCUGACAUUACAGGAAAGGUUGGGAGGAGAUCCAGAGCCACUUUCAAGUGACAGCAAUAAUCCAGUGAUUUGUAUAAAUUCAAAAGACUAGCCAACUACACGACCUUCAAGUCAACAAAUCGGAAAACACGUAAUUUUGCCAUCUCGUCUUCCGAUCCGCCAUUUUAAAGAGGAACGUGCAGUGAAAAAGAAAUCACAGCACCUUCGGGUUAAGGUGACGACCAAUCACCACUCACCUGUUUUUCCGGGUUCGAUCAAGUGACAAUUCUCAAGAUGAGCGUCAAGCCGGUGAUGAAAGCGAAGCUAUUCGGUCGACGGUACGGGAAGUCGGUGAAACCGUGUCUGCGUUUCAGAUUGAAACGCAACGUGAGCAUUGUGACGAAUAAUCGUCGUAACACGAUCCUCGCUCUACUCCGUAUGAAGCCGAAUCAGAAAAGAGACGAGGUGAAAUAAACGUAGCUGAAAUCAGUGAGAUUCGUGUUGAUGCACCUGACGAAGAUAACAUUAUCCAGGUCCCUGUACAUUUUGACCGCCAUCAAAGUUAUUUCCAUGAUGACAAGCGCAACAUAUGCCUGCCACCCUAAUUACAUCAUAAAGGGCGCUUAUAUUUACACGGCUAUCGAUUCCAACCAGAAAUCAACCUCUGACAUUACAGUUGCAAGAUUCUAUCUGAGAGUCUGCGGGGAUGCUGCUCGAUAACUCGCCAAGUCAAGAUCCGGGAUCUGCCUGAAGCCUGUUACAGCCAGCUCAGGCAAUCCCCCGGCAUCUCCCCACACCCACCCGCCAUUUAUUUUCUCCCACUCGUGCUCUUCCUUGCUGUCUGAUUCUCUCCCUUUCUUUCCUAAGCUGUCCGUCUUUUUCCACUGCUCUCCUCAUCUCCCCCUUCCCCCUCCCCGGAGUGCUCUCCUUCAGCGACACUUUUUUUUUUCUUUUUCCCCCCCUCUUCUUCCUCCGACAGCCUCGCCUCGCUCAUGCGUGCGCCAGCACUUGCGGCCACUGUGGCAGCUACCGCAACAGCGUGCAACCUUCCCCCCACACUCCACUCGAGUGCGCUCCUGGCUUGCCCUGACCCACAUCUUGAUAUAGCCCUAAGUAUGCUUACAGCUAAGUCCUGAAGACACUCCACUCUUAGCCUAAUCAGGCCUGACCUGCUGUCGGUGUACGGGGAAGAUAGACAAGUCUGGCUGGACGGACGCUCGUCUUAAUCGUGCUUUUCUGCGGGCUUUCUCUUACCCUCCUGCCCAAAGCGAGACAAUUCCCCACUUGGCAUCAGUGCGUUUUAUCUGGGCAAAAUUUGUUAAACAUUACCCAACUGGUCAGAUUGACGUCCAUUACACCCGGGGAAGGACAGAAACAUUCUUUCAAUCUUCAUUUGUAAUGUUCAACGUGUAGGAAUGAACUGGUAUCAUACGGAUGUUUUUAUGUCGCGCUUCCAAACAUAUCGUAAUAUUGUAUACAGUUGUUUCUACUUGUAUUGUGUGUUGCGCAAGUAUGUGUUUUAUUUCAUGAAACAACUGUGGAUGGAGAUAUUUGCCCGCGAAGCAUAAAAAAACAACCCUGAAUAAGUUUCCAAAUGUAUGCUUAGGUAGCAAAGAAACUGUAUUACCUUGUCUUCCUUUUGUCCAACAGGUGUU